GACGAACGCUGGCGGCGUGCUUAACACAUGCAAGUCGAACGGAAAGGCCCUGCUUUUGUGGGGUGCUCGAGUGGCGAACGGGUGAGUAACACGUGAGUAACCUGCCCUUGACUUUGGGAUAACUUCAGGAAACUGGGGCUAAUACCGGAUAGGAGCUCCUGCUGCAUGGUGGGGGUUGGAAAGUUUCGGCGGUUGGGGAUGGACUCGCGGCUUAUCAGCUUGUUGGUGGGGUAGUGGCUUACCAAGGCUUUGACGGGUAGCCGGCUUGAGAGGGUGACCGGCCACAUUGGGACUGAGAUACGGCCCAGACUCCUACGGGAGGCAGCAGUGGGGAAUAUUGCACAAUGGGCGGAAGCCUGAUGCAGCAACGCCGCGUGCGGGAUGACGGCCUUCGGGUUGUAAACCGCUUUCGCCUGUGACGAAGCGUGAGUGACGGUAAUGGGAAAAGAAGCACCGGCUAACUACGUG
rnacentral:rRNA from 1 species